GUGCUCGCUUCGGCAGCACAUAUACUAAAAUUGGAAGGAUACAGAGAAGAUUAGCAUGGCCCCUGCACAAGGAUGGCAUGCACAUUCCUGAAGUCUUUCUUAUUUAA
ensembl:snRNA U6 U6 spliceosomal RNA